AGUGAAAGAGGGAGGGAGUGGGAACACAUGCAAGUCGAACGGCAGCACAGUAAGAGCUUGCUCUUACGGGUGGCGAGUGGCGGACGGGUGAGGAAUACAUCGGAAUCUACUUUUUCGUGGGGGAUAACGUAGGGAAACUUACGCUAAUACCGCAUACGACCUACGGGUGAAAGCAGGGGAUCUUCGGACCUUGCGCGAUUGAAUGAGCCGAUGUCGGAUUAGCUAGUUGGCGGGGUAAAGGCCCACCAAGGCGACGAUCCGUAGCUGGUCUGAGAGGAUGAUCAGCCACACUGGAACUGAGACACGGUCCAGACUCCUACGGGAGGCAGCAGUGGGGAAUAUUGGACAAUGGGCGCAAGCCUGAUCCAGCCAUACCGCGUGGGUGAAGAAGGCCUUCGGGUUGUAAAGCCCUUUUGUUGGGAAAGAAAAGCAGCAGGUUAAUACCCCGCUGUUCUGACGGUACCCAAAGAAUAAGCACCGGCUAACUUCGUG
rnacentral:rRNA from 1 species